AUUGAACGCUGGCGGCAGGCCUAACACAUGCAAGUCGAGCGGAUGAAGGGAGCUUGCUCCUGGAUUCAGCGGCGGACGGGUGAGUAAUGCCUAGGAAUCUGCCUGGUAGUGGGGGAUAACGUCCGGAAACGGGCGCUCAUACCGCAUACGUCCUGAGGGAGAAAGUGGGGGAUCUUCGGACCUCACGCUAUCCGACGAGCCUAGGUCGGAUUAGCUAGUUGGUGGGGUAAAGGCCUGCCAAGGCGACGAUCCGUAACUGGUCUGAGAGGAUGAUCAGUCACACUGGAGCUGAGACACGGUCCAGACUCCUACGGGAGGCAGCAGUGGGGAAUAUUGGACAAAGGGCGAAAGCCUGAUCCAGCCAUGCCGCUUGUGUGAAGAAGGUCUUCGGAUUGUAAAGCACUUUAAGUUGGGAGGAAGGGCAGUAAGUUAAUACCUUGCUAUUUUGACGUUACCAACAGAAUAAGCACCGGCUAACUUCGUG
rnacentral:rRNA from 1 species